AAAUGCGAUAAGUAAUGUGCAUUGCAGAAUUCCGUGAAUCAUCGAAUCUUUGAACGCACAUUGCGCCCUCUGGCAUUCCGGGGGCAUGCCUGUCCGAGCGUCAUUACGCACCCUCAAGCCCGGCUUGUGUGAUGGGCCCCGGCGUCUCGUUCGCGAGACGGGCCCGAAAGGCAGCGGCGGCGUCGACCCGAUGAGCCCGAGCGUAUGGGGACUUCUGUCACACGUUCGCGGUGCGGACCGGCGCCUGCUUUGACUUUUCUGAUUAUCCAGGUUGACCUCGGAUCAGGUAGGGAUACCCGCUGAACUUAAGC
rnacentral:misc_RNA from 1 species